UUAAACGGCCGCGGUACCCUAACCGUGCGAAGGUAGCGUAAUCACCUGUCUACUAAAUAUAGACCAGUAUGAAUGGCACCACGAGGGUUACACUGUCUCCCAACUUCAAUCAGUUAAACUGAUCCCCCCGUGAAGAAGCGGGGAUUUCAAUAUAAGACGAGAAGACCCCAUGAAGCUUUAAACUAAGAAUCAACUGCUAACCUAAUACCCAUAAAACACAGCAGCUAUGACCUCAAAGUUUUCGGUUGGGGCGACCACGGAGUAUAACAAAACCUCCGCGAUGAAAGAACAUUAAAUUCUUACCCAAGAGCUACACCCCUAAGGAUCAUAAUUAUGACAUCUCUUGACCCAAACCAUUGAUCAACGAACCUAGUUACCCUGGGGAUAACAGCGCAAUCCAUUUCAAGAGCUCCUAUCGACAAAUGGGUUUACGACCUCGA
rnacentral:rRNA from 1 species